GUACCUUCAAGCUCUGCUUGGUGUUGGGUGUUUGUCCUUGCCCUAGUGGCGGGACUCGCCUUAAAGUAAUUGGCAGCCAGUGUUUUGGUUUUGAAGCGCAGCACAAGUCGCGAUUCAAGUCUAUACGCUAGUUUCCACAAGUCUUUUAUCAC
rnacentral:misc_RNA from 1 species